rnacentral:lncRNA from 7 species
ACUUGCUCUUAUUUUGGGCAACAUUCCACAUGCCUCAUCUCACUGGGAGUAGCAAUGCUUUUUCUUUCUACCGCUCCAUUUUUAUCUGGUCUAUUUAAGCUGUAGACUCUGCAGGGCAGGGACUAUCUCUCAGCCUUUGUUUGCAGCCUUAGAAGGACUUGAUUGGGACCUGCAGACAGAACACUGGUUUUAAUCGGAAUAAGCAAAAUGAAAUGACGUUCCCCAGUCUGUACCACAAGAAUGUGGAAUCGGAAGUUACAAAAUACCUGACACCUGAGCUCUGAAUCUCGCCCCGCUGGAUAACAACAUGGAGAGGAGGGUGUGCUGAGAGAAGAAGGAAAAAGCACACAAUGCUAUGUGUGUGGUUUUGUAUCAGCCAGGUGGGCACAGCCAGAGGGAGGAGAAGGCUGUCCCAGCCCUCAGUAUCUCGGGGAACACUUCCCCAUCUCCAUGGACUAGGAGCAGAGCCUUCAGAGCUCCCACCCUUGGAGAUACCGCCUGCCACCACUGUUACAGCUGCUCCCUUUUACAGGAAACACAUUAACAGCUAUAAAACUGCACAUUUAAAUGAACUCUGCUCGGGAUCUGUUUUUGCUCCAUAAAGCUCCAGAAGUCACAAAGCUUUUUGUUUCUUCUCAUCAAACUCCUCCUCUACAUUCACAUCCCCAGAUGCUUUCAUAUCAGUAAUAAACAACCGUUUUGCUG